GUGGGGAAUAUUGGACAAUGGGCGAAAGCCUGAUCCAGCCAUGCCGCGUGUGUGAAGAAGGUCUUCGGAUUGUAAAGCACUUUAAGUUGGGAGGAAGGGCAGUAAGUUAAUACCUUGCUGUUUUGACGUUACCAACAGAAUAAGCACCGGCUAACUUCGUGCCAGCAGCCGCGGUAAUACGAAGGGUGCAAGCGUUAAUCGGAAUUACUGGGCGUAAAGCGCGCGUAGGUGGUUCAGCAAGUUGAAGGUGAAAUCCCCGGGCUCAACCUGGGAACUGCCUCCAAAACUGCAUGACUAGAGUACGGUAGAGGGUAGUGGAAUUUCCUGUGUAGCGGUGAAAUGCGUAGAUAUAGGAAGGAACACCAGUGGCGAAGGCGACUACCUGGACUGAUACUGACACUGAGGUGCGAAAGCGUGGGGAGCAAACAGGAUUAGAAACCCCAGUAGUCC
rnacentral:rRNA from 1 species